AUGAGGCCGGAUCCCGCCCCUACAUGCCGCUGCUCAGCACCACCUCGCGCAACCUCGUCAGCCAAGUGCUACGGGGACAGGUUCAUCCCGGACCGGUCAGCGAUGGACAUGGACAUGGCGCACUACCUGCUCACGGAGACCAAGAAGGACAAGGAGAACGCGGCGGCCAUUGCGGCGUCCCCCUCCAAGGAGGCGUACCGGAGGCUUCUCGCGGAGAAGCUGCUCAACAACCGGACGCGGAUCCUCGCCCUCAGGAACAAGCCGCCGGAGCCGGAGAACAUCUUCGCUGCCGACACAGGUUUCUUCUCACCAGGCCAAGCCGGCCAAGCAGAGGCGCUACAUUCCCCAGUCUGCCGAGAGGACUCUGGAUGCACCGGACCUCGUCGACGACUACUACCUCAACCUGAUGGACUGGGGGAGCUUGCGCCGACGCUCUUCAGGAUGGCCCUGCCUCGCGGCCAUCUCCGCGCUGGCCUGUCCCGCCGCAUCUCAAGCUGGUCCGGCUUCACGGCCGUCUCCGCCGUGGCUUUGAGCCGGCCCUGCCUCUACACGCCUCUGCUAUCGCGGGUUUGCACUUCCAAACCGCCGGCGCCACAGCGAGUGGCCAUUCCCGCGGCCUUGCUUUUGCGGUGA
rnacentral:rRNA from 1 species